UACGAAGGUGGCAAGCGUUACUCGGAAUUACUAGGCGUAAAGGGCAGGUAGGCGGUUUGAUAAGUCCGUUGUGAAAGCUCCCGGCUUAACCGGGAGAGGUCAAUGGAUACUGUCGAACUUGAGUAUGGGAGAGGGUACUGGAAUUCCUGGUGUAGCGGUGAAAUGCGCAGAGAUCAGGAGGAACACCGAUGGCGAAAGCAGGUACCUGGACCAUUACUGACGCUCAGCUGCGAAAGCUAGGGGAGCAAACAGG
rnacentral:rRNA from 1 species